rnacentral:rRNA from 1 species
UUCGACGCAACGCGCAGAACCUUACCUGGGCUUGACAUCCCGAUCGUACCUGCUGGAAACAGCGGGGUCAGUUCGGCUGGAUCGGAGACAGGUGCUGCAUGGCUGUCGUCAGCUCGUGUCGUGAGAUGUUGGGUUAAGUCCCGCAACGAGCGCAACCCUCGCCUUUAGUUGCCAGCAUUCAGUUGGGCACUCUAGAGGGACUGCCGGUGUCAAACCGGAGGAAGGUGGGAUGACGUCAAGUCCUCAUGGCCUUUAUGUCUAGGGCUACACACGUACUACAAUGGCCGGUACAAAGGGCAGCCACUCAGCGAUGAGGCGCUAAUCCCAUAAAGCCGGUCUCAGUCCGGAUCGCAGUCUGCAACUCGACUGCGUGAAGUUGGAAUCGCUAGUAAUCGUAGAUCAGCAUGCUACGGUGAAUACGUUCCCGGGCCUU